GAUUAAACCUUCAACUUUCUCAACAAUCUUAAUUAACUUCUUUGGUCUCAUUCCCAUGGAUUCUGCACCCCGCACUCUGGAAAUCACAGUUUUAUCUGCUGAAAACCUGCGUCUGGAUGGAAAAUCCGUGAAAAAGGACGCCUUCGUUGUUGUAAAAUUUGAUUCUCUCAAUUCUAAAUCUACCAAGGCUGAUCAUGAAGGGGGAAGCAAUCCUUCCUGGAAUCAAAAACUCGAAAUGGA
rnacentral:misc_RNA from 1 species